AUCACAGUAUGCUAAUGAGCCGGGGGCCUUUAAGAGCUCCUCAGACGUGGACACACAGCAGCCAGACGGGAGCGCGUGGAGGGGAGUGUCAGCGAGCCACGCUGCAUGCACAAAGAUCACCACCACGGCAGGAACAGGGCCGCUAACCGCUAUGUCUUGUGCCCCUGGACAGGAUAUCAUCUUAUACUGUAAGUUUGUUAAAGAGACACUACAGUAUAGAUGAUGUACUAUCCAGGGUCUCAUUCCUCCCUGCCGGCAUCACCAGCGCUCCCUAGCCGGCUCACGCCUAACCGACUGUGGCAGGCUGCACGCACCACAGAGGAGAGGCCGUCAAACCGUUACCAUUACUGAGUUUCAGUUAUGGUAAGGGUUAUACGGCCCUCGCUCAAUGUCAUCUGGCCCGGGAGGACGAAGAAAACUGGUGAUUGAUGUGUUGUGUGUGUGUGAACCUCUGGAGGGCAUCUGCAUGUGAAAUAAAACUUAUGGUUCCCAAACAAAA